AGAGUUUGAUCCUGGCUCAGGAUGAACGCUGGCGGCGUGCUUAACACAUGCAAGUCGAACGGGAAUGUUUCGCUGAUGCGAUUUCGGUCAAAUCUUGAAGCAUUUUAGUGGCGGACGGGUGAGUAACGCGUGGGUAACCUGCCCUGUACAGGGGGACAACAGUUGGAAACGACUGCUAAUACCGCAUAAGCGCACAGCUUCGCAUGAAGCAGUGUGAAAAACUCCGGUGGUACAGGAUGGACCCGCGUCUGAUUAGAUAGUUGGUGAGGUAACGGCCCACCAAGUCAACGAUCAGUAGCCGGCCUGAGAGGGUGAACGGCCACAUUGGGACUGAGACACGGCCCAAACUCCUACGGGAGGCAGCAGUGGGGAAUAUUGCACAAUGGGGGAAACCCUGAUGCAGCGACGCCGCGUGAGUGAAGAAGUAUUUCGGUAUGUAAAGCUCUAUCAGCAGGGAAGAAAACAAUGACGGUACCUGACUAA
rnacentral:rRNA from 1 species